GUGAGGCGCUAGGGGUGCCGUACCGGCUGAGAAGCGGCUUGCCGCUAACCCUAUGGACUCGAUCUGGAUAAUACCAGCGGGAGGAAGUGCCAUCGGACAACA
rnacentral:ncRNA from 1 species